CCUACGGGUGGCAGCAGUGAGGAAUAUUGGUCAAUGGACGCAAGUCUGAACCAGCCAUGCCGCGUGCAGGAAGACGGCCCUAUGAGUUGUAAACUUCUUUUGUACGAGGGUAAACGCAGACACGCGUACCUGUCUGAAAGUAUUGUACGAAUAAGGAUCGGCUAACUCCGUGCCAGCAGCCGCGGUAAUACGGAGGAUUCGAGCGUUAUCCGGAUUUAUUGGGUUUAAAGGGUGCGUAGGCGGUCGGUUAAGUUAGAGGUGAAAUCUCGAGGCUCAACGUUGGAAUUGCCUCUGAUACUGGUCGGCUAGAGAGUAGUUGCGGUAGGCGGAAUGUAUGGUGUAGCGGUGAAAUGCUUAGAGAUCAUGCAGAACACCGAUUGCGAAGGCAGCUUACUAAGCUAUUUCUGACGUUGAGGCACGAAAGCGUGGGGAGCAAACAGGAUUAGAUACCCGAGUAGUC
rnacentral:rRNA from 1 species